GAUGAACGCUGGCGGCGUGCCUAAUACAUGCAAGUCGAGCGAACAGACGAGGAGCUUGCUCCUCUGACGUUAGCGGCGGACGGGUGAGUAACACGUGGAUAACCUACCUAUAAGACUGGGAUAACUUCGGGAAACCGGAGCUAAUACCGGAUAAUAUAUUGAACCGCAUGGUUCAAUAGUGAAAGACGGUUUUGCUGUCACUUAUAGAUGGAUCCGCGCCGCAUUAGCUAGUUGGUAAGGUAACGGCUUACCAAGGCGACGAUGCGUAGCCGACCUGAGAGGGUGAUCGGCCACACUGGAACUGAGACACGGUUCAGACUCCUACGGGAGGCAGCAGCAGGGAAUCUUCCGCAAUGGGCGAAAGCCUGACGGAGCAACGCCGCGUGAGUGAUGAAGGUCUUCGGAUCGUAAAACUCUGUUAUUAGGGAAGAACAAAUGUGUAAGUAACUAUGCACGUCUUGACGGUACCUAAUCAGAAAGCCACGGCUAACUACGUG
rnacentral:rRNA from 1 species